UCGCUGUACCCCGCCCAGCCCGUGGGCCCGCCUGCCUACCACGAGACCUUGGCUGGGGAUGCAGCCAUGGCCUAUCCUGCCAGCCAGCCUCCUUACAACCCAGCCUACAUGGACCCCCCGAAGGCCACCCGCUGAGCGCACUGCAUCUCUGGCUGCCACUUGAUGCAUCGCGCGCGUGUGUGUGUGUGUGUGUCCACGUGUGUGCGUGUGCGUGCUUGUGCGGCUAUGCAGGCACAGCCUUUCAACCCGUGCGGUGUGUGUGUCCUGUUUGUACACGUGAUGAUGACAAGGUGGGGAUGAUCCUCACCAGAGUUGCUGGAACCAUACUUUGUUCUCUUCCUCACUUCAAAUUAUGCUUCCUUGAAAUCCCAAGCAAAACUCAAAGAAUGGGGUGAGUUCCUGGCCAGACCGCCCGGGAGGCUGGGGGGUCGUCACUAGGACAGCCCCGCUUUUUGUGGGCAGCAAGUGCACAUGCUCGGGCUCUGCAGUGGCCAGCCUGCUUGAGGCCAUGCCUGCCCCAGGUGUGGCCUCCAUCACAGAACAGAGCUGUGCUGCAGGGCGGUGGGUGGGGCCGGGCUAAGCUGGGUUUUGAUCCCAUAGUUCCCUGGAGCCAGGCCCUGAAACCACGUGGAGAUCGCCUCGGUGCUGGCUGCCCUGGCCCCCGACACAGGUGGACAGGGUGGCCUCUGUCCACCUACACACUCAGGUGUCCUCCCUGCAGUGUCUUUGUUGUACUUUUAUCCAAACUUUUUUUUUUUUUGCCUCUUUUGUUUUAAAAUGUAUGUGAUAGUUGCUGAGGCUGAAACCCCUGGGUCCUAGAGGGACAUUGGCCCAGAGGAGAGGGACCAUCUGACCUGACAGUUCCUGUCUCCGUCACACCAGCUCCUGGACCCUCGUUCCAUUGUCCUGGCAGCAGGGACACUGGGCCACCAGCCUCUGAACCAAGGUGGGGGGUCCCGGGGGGCCGCUGGCCCAGAUACGAAUACCUCGGUGUCCCCGUCCCUCUGUGACUGUCUCGCCAGAUCUGUCUCAACUUUGUACUGUUGAUGCGUUUCUGAGUCUGGGAGCUGUACCUUGGUUUAUAAUAAAUGCAGACAUUUUGAGCUA